UACGAAGGGGGCUAGCGUUGCUCGGAAUCACUGGGCGUAAAGGGCGCGUAGGCGGAUCUUUAAGUCAGGGGUGAAAGCCUGAGGCUCAACCUCAGAAUUGCCUUUGAUACUGAAGAUCUUGAGACCGGAAGAGGUUAGUGGAACUGCGAGUGUAGAGGUGAAAUUCGUAGAUAUUCGCAAGAACACCAGUGGCGAAGGCGGCUAACUGGUCCGGUUCUGACGCUGAGGCGCGAAAGCGUGGGUAGCAAACAGG
rnacentral:rRNA from 1 species